UGAUUGUAGCCUUUUUGAGUAGA
rnacentral:miRNA from 2 species